AUACGGAGGGUGCAAGCGUUAUCCGGAAUUAUUGGGUUUAAAGGGUCCGUAGGCGGCUAGAUAAGUCAGUGGUGAAAUUCUCUCGCUCAACGAGAGACCUGCCAUUGAUACUGUCUUGGCUAGAGUUACAGUGAGGUGAGUGGAAUGUGUAGUGUAGCGGUGAAAGGCAUAGAUAUUACACAGAACACCGAUUGCGAAGGAAGCUCACUAACUGUAUACUGACGCUGAUGGACGAAAGCGUGGGGAGCAAACAGGAUUAGAAACCCUAGUAGUCC
rnacentral:rRNA from 1 species